UACGUAGGGUGCAAGCGUUAAUCGGAAUUACUGGGCGUAAAGCGUGCGUAGACGGUUACGUAAGUCGGGUGUGAAAGCCCCGGGCUCAACCUGGGAAUUGCAUUCGAGACUGUGUAGCUAGGGUGCGGAAGAGGGAAGCGGAAUUUCCGGUGUAGCGGUGAAAUGCGUAGAUAUCGGAAGGAACAUCAGUGGCGAAAGCGGCUUCCUGGUCCAGCACCGACGUUCAGGCACGAAAGCGUGGGGAGCAAACAGG
rnacentral:rRNA from 1 species